CCAAUAGCGUAUAUUAAAGUUGUUGCAGUUAAAAAGCUCGUAGUUGAAUUUUAGGCCUGGCCGGGCGGUCCGUCUUUGGCGAGUACUGUCCUGUGUCGGGUCCACCUUCUGGUGAACCAGUAUGUCCUUUAUUGGGUGUGCCGGGGAGCCAGGACCAUUACCUUGAAAAAAUUAGAGUGUUUAAAGCAGGCAUUUGCUUGAAUAGAUUAGCAUGGAAUAAUAGAAUAGGACGUUGUGGUUCUAUUUUGUUGGUUUCUAGGACCACCGUAAUGAUUAAUAGGGAUAGUUGGGGGCAUUAGUAUUCAAUUGUCAGCGGUGAAAGUCUUGGAUUUAUUAAAGACUAACUAUUGCGAAAGCAUUUGCCAAGGAUGUUUUCAUUAAUCAAGAACGAAAGUUAGGGGAUCGAAGACGAUCAGAUCCCGUCGUAGUCUUAACCAUAAACUAUGCCGACUAGGAAUCGGGCGACGUUAUUUUCAUGACUCGAUCGGCGCCUUAUG
rnacentral:rRNA from 1 species